rnacentral:lncRNA from 1 species
CUGUAUUGAUUCAUUGGAAUGUAAGGCUGUAUCGGUUUAUUGGAAUGUAAAGGUGUAUUGAUUUAUUGGAAUGUAAGGCUGCAUUGAUUCAUUGGAAUAUAAGGCUGUAUUGAUUUAUUGGAAUGUAAGGCUGUAUUGAUUCAUUGGAAUGUAAGGCUGAAUUGAUUCAUUAGAAUGUUAGGCUGUAUUGAUCCACUUGAAAUGUAAGGCUGUAUUGAUUCAUUGGAAUGUAAGGCUGUAUUGAUUCUUUGGAAUGUAAGGCUGUAUUGAUUCAUUGGAAUGUAAGGCUGUAUUGAUUCAUUGGAAUGUAAGGCUGUAUUGAUUUAUUGAAAUGUUAGGCUGUAUUGAUUCAU